GACGAACGCUGGCGGCGUGCUUAACACAUGCAAGUCGAGCGGUAAGGCCCUUUCGGGGGUACACGAGCGGCGAACGGGUGAGUAACACGUGGGUGACCUGCCCUCAGCUCUGGGAUAAGCCUGGGAAACUGGGUCUAAUACUGGAUAUGACUCCACGGUGCAUGUCGUGGGGUGGAAAGCCUUGUGCGGCUGAGGAUGGGCCCGCGGCCUAUCAGCUUGUUGGUGGGGUGAUGGCUACCAAGGCGACGACGGGUAGCCGGCCUGAGAGGGCGACCGGCCACACUGGGACUGAGACACGGCCCAGACUCCUACGGGAGGCAGCAGUGGGGAAUCUUGCGCAAUGGGCGAAAGCCUGACGCGGCGACGCCGCGUGAGGGAUGACGGCCU
rnacentral:rRNA from 1 species